rnacentral:lncRNA from 1 species
CGAGAAGAAUCGAGAAAGAGGGAGGAAAAAAAUGAAGAAAGAAGAGAAGAAGAAAAGGAAGAGGAAAAGAAGAAGAAGAAGAAGUGGGUUUUCAAUUCUUGGGUACUCCAUUUUUUCAGUUUCUCAUUUGAUUUUGAGAGGUAAGUGUAAGUAUAUUGAAUUAAGUUUUCUUUUAGGGUUUAUGAAAAAUUUGGUUAUAUUCAAAGUUAGCUAGAAUUAGAGGUUACUGACAUUUAUUUGAGGUAUUAAACAUGAAUAUGUUAAAGGAAUAUGUAUUGAAAGAUUGGUGUUGGAAAAAAUAAAAGAAAGAAAAGAAAAGGAGGGAAACUUUGCAAUUGGGUUUAUGAAAUAGACGCUUAUUCUUUGAUUUUCUUUGGAUUAUAUGAUGCUAAGCACUUAAAUUAUGGAAUUGUGGUUGAUUUCUCCAUUUUUAAGUAAUAAUUAUAAGCAAUUUUUGGACAAAUCCUGCACAGGUGCUGCUUUUGAAAUCCUGCCCCAGAAAAGUGCUAGUUUUGUCAAUGUUUUUGGUGACAGAUUUCAAUAUAUAGACAUUGGUGCUAGCUUUCAAUAUUCUAGAAUUAUAGUGCUAGUUUUGUCAAUCAUCUAAUUUUCUUGGAUUUCUAGUAUUGGAACCAAAUUAAAUGUUAAAUAUUUGGAGUUUUGGUGUUAAAAUAAUUUAUAUAAAGGAGUAUAUAUUGUUAGUGACCUUAAUUGAGACUACGAGGUUGAAAAUAAAAUAUAUCAUGUUCCCAUUGAUAAAUUAAUAUUUCAAAUGGUAGGAAAAUACUCAAGACAUCUUUGCAAGGGAAUAUGAUUUAUUAGAGCGAGUGCGUAAUAUCAUACUUGAUAUUUGAAGUUUAAGCAGUGACGAGAAGAUGGAAACCCUGGUCGACUAUUACUCGGUGAGUGGAUAAAACUUAAUUUGCAGAAAUAAGUAUUCAUUAAAUUUUGAAAUUAUUUAUUUUAUAAAGUUAAGUUGAUAGCAUGAUUUUCAAAAUAAAAUUGAUUUUAUAAAUAGUUCUUUUAAAUAUUUGAUUCAGUUCAGUUAAAUCAUUUCAAUAGCAUGUUCUAUUCGUACUACAUGUUUUAGUAUAGUUAAAGUUAUUUCUAAAAAUCACGAGGAGGUACCAUGUGAUUUUACCCCAGUCUAUAUUGGUGUAAAUGUGUUUCCACAGUGUAUGACUAUUUAAGGUGAUUUUACCCAGUUUGCAAAAUUGUGAAUGUGUUUCCAUAGUGUAUGACUAGUUUAUCAGAGGUCUUUGGGAUCCAUUCUCGUACACACAUAGGCUUUGAGUCGUCUACUAGGGUGAUUAGCCUUUGAGGCAGCUCUGUGUACGUAUGACCAUAUUAUCACAUUAUCAGAUAUUAUAUUUGAAUGGCUUUGCCUUGUACAUCGAGAUUUUUCUAUACAUAAGUAAGGCUAUUCAUUGGGUACCUUUUUGGUGUGAUUUUUCAGUAUUUCUACAGUUUAUCAAUUUUCAGAUUUUAGAAUUCAUUUUUCAGAAUAAAGCUUCAGCUUAGAGUAUUGAGCAGCAGAUAUUUCAUAGAUUUUCAUGGAUAUCGGAUUAUUUAUGUCAUUAUACUUUAUAGUUGCUUAUCUAGAAUUAAGAACAAAGAAUUUUAUUAUGAAAUUAUGUUUAGUUUUAAAAGUGCUACCAGAUUUCAAAAUUUCUCAAAGUUUUGAUAGAGCAAGAAUUUUUAGAAUAUAUACAUAAAAGAAAAAUAUAUUUAUUUGCAAAUUAUCCACUCACUGAGCUUUAAAAUCAUAUAUAUUUUUUCACAUUUUUCUUUAUCAAACAGAAAGCAGACGAAUUGAGUAGCUUUGGAACCUGUCGAACCAUCAAAUUGAGCCACGCGUCAUAGGUUGUAUGACAUCAUUUAUCAGGUUAUACAUUAUGUGUUCUUUUGGGAUACAUGUAGUUUAAAUCAGAAAAGUUCAUUAUGAGCUCAUUAGAUAUUUGGUAUCUUUAGUAUAUUUGAGGAUGUUGGUGGUAAAGAAAGUAAAUAUUGAUUUGCUAGUAUUUUAUUCGAAUAAUUUGCAUUUUGAAG